GCGCUCGUAGCUCAGCUGGUUAGAGUAUCGCCUUGACAUGGCGGGGGUCCCCUGUUCGAAUCAGGGCGGGCGCACCA
rnacentral:tRNA from 1 species